rnacentral:rRNA from 1 species
UACGGGGGGGGUAAGCGUUGUUCGGAAUUACUGGGCGUAAAGGGCUCGUAGGCGGCCAACUAAGUCGGACGUGAAAUCCCUCAGCUUAACUGGGGAACUGCGUCCGAUACUGGAUGGCUUGGAUUUGGGAGAGGGAUGCGGAAUUCCACGUGUAGCGGUGAAAUGCGUAGAGAUGUGGAGGAACACCGAUGGCGAAGGCAGCCUCCUGGGCCAACACUGACGCUCAUGCACGAAAGCGUGGGGAGCAAACAGG